UACCUUGAGAACAGUACUUUUUAGUUUUGCAGUUUACAUUAUUUUAUCAUGUGAUGUGCCCUGUGGGAAAUGUUGUUCUGGAAAAUUAGAAGGCUAUUACUUUUGUUCUGGGUGGAUCAUAUAGGUUAACUUGAUUGCUUCACCAACGAGUGUAUAUGCACCCAUACGUACACUUAUCAACCAUUGAUACUAUGAACACAUACCAACAUUCUUGGUCAUUGGAUGUGGUUCUUGUCUUGUUUUCACAUCGCAGUAGUUACAUAUUACACUGCGAAAAUAACCUUGCAGCUUUGAACUCCAAGAGAGCUCACAAGCCUUAGCCAUUACUACUUCUGGAUCCCACAUAUUGUUCUUUUGUAAGCACCGUGUCAAGAUAGUGUGACUUGCUCUUGCAUAACUCUUGUCUCCUAAUUAGUUUACCUCAGCAUCUCAUUGCUUGAUACUUUGCCCCUAAGAUAGGCUUUGUUUCAAGAUUGUAAUCAUCGGUUAUUGAGUAAACAACCCCGAGCAGUCUUAUUAUAAUUUAAUUCGUCCUGCUCGGACUGUGGACACUGUGCUUCAGGACCUGAUGCUGGAGCCCACCAAAAAUGAAUAACACAUCUUGGCCUCACUUGGGAGUUUACAGGGUUCCUUGCCAGCAUACUCCCUAGUAGUGUGUGUCAUCCUGUUGGCUUGAAGCUCUAGUAAGUCGAGUGGCUUACUAGAUGCAGCAACACACAAGUUAGCAUCACUCGAUGACAAACUGCAAUCUUGUGUAUAUAUGUCUGAUUCCCUCUUGCGGUGGUGUCCCAUGCUUGUGGAGUUAUGCACCAAGCUGAAAGCACGUGUUGAAGUGUCUAGUCCAACGAGGAUAUGUAUCCUGUCUCACGUCCAAACCGAAAGAAAAGAGUAGCUUUCUUUCUGCUCCAGCAGUUUCAAGACUGAGCAGCGGAAAACCUAGAGGUAUCAAGUCUUGAAAAGCCAAUGAGGGUACCCUAUGUGUGGCAUUUUAUCCCACACUAUGAAGUCAGGUUAUGUCUGUGAAUCUUCUGGAUUCAUACUCACCAAACUGGGUGUCUUCAAAAGCCAAUGAGGGUAUCCUAUGUGUGGCCUUGUAGAUUUGUAUCCCACUCUAUGAAUCCAGGUUAUGUCUAAGGGUACCCUAUGUAGGGGUGUGCAAAAAUUGGUCCGGACCGAAAAAAUGGACCGGACCGGACCGACCCAGACCGGACCAGGCCGGACCGAAGACAAUCGGUCCGGUCAUCGGGUCGAGAAAUAUCAAUUUCCGGUCUUCGGUCCGGUCCGGUCUGGUCCGGUCCAAAACCCGAUUUUGGACCGGACCGAUUUUUUCUUAAUAAUAUAUAAUAUAAAAUACUUAAAAAGUUAAUUCUCUCAUUUAAUAUGUUGUAAAUAUUAUUAUAUUGUGAUAUGUUUUAUUUUAGCUUCCAAAAAAGGCCUUAAAAAAUUGAUUUUUUUUAUAUAUAUUUUUUCUUUUUUACCAUAAUUUUUAGAAAAAUAAAAAAUAUAUAGAAAAAGGUCUACAACCGGUCCAAAUCGGUCCGGUCCGGGUUUUGGACCGAUUUUAUCGGUCCGGUCCGGUUUUGGUCCAAGUAUAAUCGGUCCGGUCUUUGGGUCUCAAAUUAUCAAAUUUCGGUCUUCGGUCCGAUCCGGGUCGGUCCGGUCCGGUCCGGGUUUGGACCGAUGAACACCCCUAACCCCAUGUGUGGCAUUGUAUCCCAUUCUAUGAAUCCAGGUUAUGUCUGAAACUUUCGGAUUCAUAAACUCACCAAACUGCGUUCUCAGCAGGCGGUCAAGUCUGUGCGAAUGAGAACUAUUCUGUUCUCAUACCCACGUACAUGCUUGCAGUCAUCGAGAGCUCAUCGCCCAAAGGAGUCUAGCGUCACUUUCUAAAAUGUUACUAUAGUAAACUUCGUCACAGUGACACUUGCACAUCUUGUGUACCCUUGAGACACAUACAAACGUCCAUUUCACUGUAUCAAGUAUUCAUGCUUUAACCUACUAAGCCGUAGGCUCUAUAAAUUGGGCGUGGCCGUGGCUGCAUAGUUUUGAGGCUAAGGAAGGAUCAAAAUUCACUGAGAAUUGGAAAAUCUCUUUAAACAGUUUCAUCUUUUCUAAUGCUGUAAUCCAAUCCCCCCCCCCCCCCCC